rnacentral:rRNA from 14 species
AAAUUAAUUUUGUUGUGCCACGCUCUUCUAUGAGAUUAGAUUAUUGAUAAGCGAAAAUUUGUCAAGUCAAAGAUCUCUAGCGGGUUUUUACGAACUUUCCGCCUCACUAGCUUUGAGAUAAUUGCUAGAUUUUUUAAAUCGCAGUCGAGAAUAUUGGACAAUUAAAGAAAUUUAGAUCCAGUGACCUUAAAUGAUCGAUACAGGUACACUACCAUAAAGAUCAGUAACUAAUGUAAAGUAGGAUUACUUAAGUGAUAGCUCUAACAAAUUAUGUGCCAGAAGUUUCGGUAAUACAUGAAGAGCGAACGUUAUUCAAAAAUACUUGGUAUAAAUUGCAUGUAGGAGGCACGUUUAAUUUAAGGGAACUAUUAAGUGACAAUCUUAAAAAAUUUCUUAUUAUAUUUUCGUGCUAGAGUAUUUAGUAGGAAAGUGGAAUAGAUCCAGAAGCGAUAAAAUGUUUUGAUAGGAUUUGGAAUAUCAACUGAUGAAAAUAGCUUUCUCUAAAAAAAAGAUCACAUAAAGAUCUUUACUGACUCUUAAUUUGCUAAAGUUUGAGUAUCAAAGAGAAUUAGAGACUCUCGUAGUUCAAACCUUCAACGAUAAAGGCUCCUUUUGUUCGCAAAAGGUUACUAAUGUAAAGCUUUUAACCUGAGUAGUACGUUUGCAAAAAUGAAAUUUAAAGAAUUAGAUGAGAGGGAAAACUAUCCGUGGAUUAUGUUGGUUAAUUCGAUAAUACCCGCAAACCUUACCUUUCCUUGUAUAAUAGUAUUCGUGAACUUAGUUCAGCUUUGAAAAAAUUUUCAAAUUUUUCGCUAUUACAGAUGUUGCAUGGUUGUCGUCAGCUCUUGUUUCAAAAUGUUUGGUUAACUCCAAGAAAGGGCGAAACUUCUUUUUCUAUUUUUAUUUUAGCGAGCAAGUUUCGAUCAGCUUUUUGCCCGAAUGGCUGCCGAUUUUAAUAGAAAAAUCACUUAGAGAAGGUAAGAUGAAAGAAGAAAAGACGUCUAAAUCCUCAUGACUUUUAUGGAAAGGGCUCCAAAUGUAAUACAAUAGAAAUUUUAUAAAAAGACGCUUCUUUUUUGAGGCAAAGCUUUAAAUAUUUUUGUAGUUCGGAUUAUCUUUUGUAACUCAGAGAUAUGAAGUAGGAAUGGAUAGUAACGGUUGAAAAGAAUGCUACCGUGAAACUUAAUAAUUCCCUUUUUACUUAUCGCCCAUCACUUCAUGAGAAUUAAUU